GGCCUUUGCGUUCGCGCGCGCGGCCCCUAUAUGUGGUCGUGCCGGGUUCCACCCGGCUAUGGCGAUAAACCAUGGCGUAGAAUAGAUGCAGCGGACCCGGGGGCAGUACCCGGCGGCUCCACCAUCUGCGCCGCAUGGCCGGCGCGUUACACGCGCGACGGCGGCGGCGUAGCUGACGGGGCCGAACCAGGAUCGACGUGUAUUGAAAGGCGCCGUCUUCGCUCGGAAUGGGACCACCGCAACGGCCCAUUACACAAGUGCCAACGAUAACGAAGCACUCGCGAUGGCGGCGUAACUGAUGGCCUAACGGCCUGACGUUACACCAAAAUAGCGCGGUUGGACCCCACCGGGCAACAGAAGGGGAUUCCA
rnacentral:tmRNA from 2 species